GCGGACACAUUCCAGCCAAUCAGCAGCAGACCCUCCCUCCCAGACCCUCCCACCUCCUGGACAGCUCACUAAGAAUGCAGCUUCACAAUGAAUGUAAAAUGGAUGCUGUCCAGGAGGUGGGAGGGUCUGGGAGGGAGGGUCUGCUGCUGAUUGGCUGGAAUGUGUCUG